rnacentral:rRNA from 1 species
GACGAACGCUGGCGGCGUGCUUAACACAUGCAAGUCGAACGGAAAGGCCCCUUUGGGGGUACUCGAGUGGCGAACGGGUGAGUAACACGUGAGUAACCUGCCCUUGACUUCGGGAUAACUUCAGGAAACUGGGGCUAAUACCGAAUAGGAAUCCUUGCUGCAUGGUGGGGGUUGGAAAGCUUCGGCGGUUUUGGAUGGACUCGCGGCUUAUCAGCUUGUUGGUGGGGUAGUGGCUUACCAAGGCUUUGACGGGUAGCCGGCCUGAGAGGGCGACCGGCCACAUUGGGACUGAGAUACGGCCCAGACUCCUACGGGAGGCAGCAGUGGGGAAUAUUGCACAAUGGGCGGAAGCCUGAUGCAGCAACGCCGCGUGCGGGAUGACGGCCUUCGGGUUGUAACCCGCUUUCAGCAGGGGCGAAGCUUUUGUGACGGUACCUGCAGAAGACGCACCGGCUAACUACGUG